rnacentral:rRNA from 1 species
AGUCGUAACAAGGUUUCCGUAGGUGAACCUGCGGAAGGAUCAUUAAAGAGUAAGGGUGCUCAGCGCCCGACCUCCAACCCUUUGUUGUUAAAACUACCUUGUUGCUUUGGCGGGACCGCUCGGUCUCGAGCCGCUGGGGAUUCGUCCCAGGCGAGCGCCCGCCAGAGUUAAACCAAACUCUUGUUAUUAAACCGGUCGUCUGAGUUAAAAUUUUGAAUAAAUCAAAACUUUCAACAACGAAUCUCUUGGUUCUCGCAUCGAUGAAGAACGCAGCGAAAUGCGAUAAGUAAUGUGAAUUGCAGAAUUCAGUGAAUCAUCGAAUCUUUGAACGCACAUUGCGCCCCUUGGUAUUCCGAGGGGCAUGCCUGUUCGAGCGUCAUUACACCACUCAAGCUAUGCUUGGUAUUGGGUGCCGUCCUUAGUUGGGCGCGCCUUAAAGACCUCGGCGAGGCCUCACCGGCUUUAGGCGUAGUAGAAUUUAUUCGAACGUCUGUCAAAGGAGAGGACUUCUGCCGACUGAAACCUUUUAUUUUUCUAGGUUGACCUCGGAUCAGGUAGGGAUACCCGCUGAACUUAAGCAUAUCAAUAAGCGGAGGAAAUUAAAAGUCG